UACGUAGGGUGCGAGCGUUGUCCGGAUUUAUUGGGCGUAAAGAGCUCGUAGGCGGUUUGUCGCGUCGGCCGUGAAAUCUCCACGCUUAACGUGGAGCGUGCGGUCGAUACGGGCAGACUUGAGUUCGGUAGGGGAGACUGGAAUUCCUGGUGUAGCGGUGAAAUGCGCAGAUAUCAGGAGGAACACCGAUGGCGAAGGCAGGUCACUGGGCCGCAACUGGACGCUGAGGAGCGAAAGCAUGGGGAGCGAACAGG
rnacentral:rRNA from 1 species